rnacentral:rRNA from 1 species
ACAUACGACCAUAGGGUGUGGAGAACAGGGCUUCCCGUCCGCUCAGCCGUACUUAAGCCACACGCCGGGAGGUUAGUAGUUGGGUGGGUGACCACCAGCGAAUCCCUUCUGUUGUAUGUA